rnacentral:rRNA from 1 species
CAUAGAAAAAAGAGAGUUGCAUGGCUAGAAACAGUAGUCUUAUACUAUAUUCAAUGUAAUAGAGUCAUAAGCAUUACCCUUCUCAUUAGGAGUCUGUAAGUCGUCAUGGCCUUUAUAGAAUGGGCAACACACGUGAUACUAUGAACUAGACAAAUACAUUAGGGCGCCUCGCGCUCCGCGCCCUAUUCUUUUAAAAAAAGAAUAGGGCGCCUCGCGCUCUGCGCGAGUCACCCGGCUCCGUCCGGGGGACUCCGCACAUAAAAACAGUGAAAUCGUUUUUAAGCGAGGUAAAUAAACUAGUUCAAUCAUAAAAUGGAUUGGAUCUUGCAAAUAGAUUCAUGAAAAAGGAAUAGCGAGUAAUCGAGAAUCAUCCACGUCUCGGUGAAGAUAAUAGUAACUUUUCUUUAUAGUUACAACUACAAUUCAAUAUUUAAGAGGUUAAAAAAUAUUUAAACUUCACCGCGGAGUCCCCCGGACGGAGCCGGGUGCCUCGCGCGGAGCGCGAGGCGCCCCGCGGAGUCCCCCGGACGGAGCCGGGUGACUCCGCGAGGCGCCCUAUUCUUUUAAAAAAAGAAUAGGGCGCGGAGCGCGAGGCGCCCUAUAUUGAUAUUGAUAAACAAUUCAAUUGUAGUUUUAAGGUCUAUGGUGCACACAUUGCCCGUCACUUCCUAGAAGCGUUUAUGCGUCGAAGGAGUAGCCAAGUUUGUUAUGCGGCUAUACCGUAUCGUAUAAACGUAACUGGGAAUAAGUCGUAACAGCUUAGAGUUGGGGAACCAGCCCUAGA